GGACUACAGGGGUUUCUAAUCCCGUUUGCUCCCCACGCUUUCGUACCUCAGCGUCAGUAACAACCCAGAAGUCCGCUUUCGCCACUGGUGUUCUUCCCAAUAUCUACGCAUUUCACCGCUACACUGAGAAUUCCGACUUCCUCUAUUGUCCUCUAGUUUGCCAGUUUCCGAUACAGUCCUGGAGUUAAGCUCCAGUCUUUAAUGUCAGACUUAACAAACCGCCUACGUACUCUUUACGCCCAGUAAUUCCGAACAACGCUUGCAUCCUACGUAUUACCGCGGCUGCUGGCAC
rnacentral:rRNA from 1 species